ACAGCUGGUGACUAACGAAUUAUAUAGAACUCUUAAGUCGAUACAGUGAUUAGCCAGUAAUAGGAAGGGACGAAUAACCUAUUUCGAUAUUCAUUCAGUAUGUACUUUUCGUGAGGAAAUGACGGAGAGAUAUUCAGUUUUACCACAUUUAUAUCAACCGCUGUCAUCGUUAAAAAAUGAAGAAGAUAAAUAAUCUAGGCACAAUGGAUUAUGUAGCCCUAGAUACACAGUGUUUUAUAAUAAGAGGUGAUGGUCACAGCUAAGACGUCUUUUUAAACCUAUAGGUCUGCUUGUUCAGGAUUAAAGGGAGUUUAAAUAACAUCAACAUAAGGAGCAGCUUUUGAAAAUUCAGAAAGACAAAAGAAAUUCCUGAAUCAUCAGUAUGGCAGCACCAUAUCGAUUACCCUCCAAUUACAUAAGACAGCAAGGCAAUUCUGGCAGACACUUUGUUGGACGACAUGAUGAGAGGGAAAAGCUGAAGAUCUUGAUCAAGGAUGAAGAUACUCAAAUAAUACAAGUUCAUGGACUGCCUUAUGUUGGCAAAACAAGAUUUGUGAAAACUGUCUGUCAAGAAUUGAAGGAUGAAAUUAACCCUGAAAGACUCCACAUAAAA
rnacentral:lncRNA from 1 species